CAGGCACGUCUGAUUUACCAUCGGUGUCACCGAGCGGAGCACAGGACCUGGUACCUGCCAUGGCGUGCACCGGCGUGCCCAAGGGAGAAGGAGCAGGGGGGAACGCACAAACCGACUGACACCCAGGCUGGGACGUGCCGCCCAGCAGCCCGUCCCGAAACUGCAGAAUAAAAGUUUCCCCGGGACUCAGCCCCGAGGUCGUAGUGCGAACACGUCUUCGGCAGAGCUGCCGCUACCCACUUGCAAACCGCCAGCUCCCGCAGGUGCGCAGAAAAUCUGCUGCGAUUUUUUUGGGGGGAAGGCCGGGAAGCGGAGGAUGCUCUUUUCAUGAAGGGCCAUUUGUGGGUGCUGCACAUGCCUGGGGGCUCAGGCAGGACGAACCCUCGUCAGGGAGCAAGCAUAGAGGAAGAAAUGUGGCUUCUCUGCACGGAGGAUGGAGAUAUUCAGCCUCACUGCAUGUCUCAGGACUGCUCGUUAAAGGCGUGUUGUGUGAACAGAGACCCUUCGGAGAUCUUUGACUGGGCAAGCUUCUUCUAAACUAAGUCACAGUAUGGAAUAGAGGAGGCAAAAAUAAACUAGUAUCAAAAGGAGAAAAAAGCAACUCUUACAAACCAAUCCCAGAUCUUGACUCAGUGCUGUUUCUCGUAUAUAGUGCUAUACAAUUUAGUCAUGAGUUGUUUGGUUUUUUUUUUUUUCCUCGCAGGCAUUGGAAAUCUUCAUAGUAAAAAAACCUAAGAUGGCCAGCUUUCCAAAAAUCCCUUAGUGUUCAUUAGGCUAUGAACAAUUUGGCGUUCACUACAACAUGAACACUCAAACCAAUUGCACAUCCAGAACUCCGGCACCUCUCUUUGUUUGUUCGGCUUUUGUUUUUUGUUUUUUUAUUUUAUUUUCUCAUUGUCGCUUUUGACUUAGUUGAUCACCACCCCUUUCAUCCAAAUGUCGCAAGUUGAAAAGACCACAGAGUAAGACUUUACUGGUCGGGCAAGAAAGUCUCUCCCUACAUUCUACUGUCUGAUGAGAUUUGAGAGCAGCAGGUAGUUGCUGUCAGCAGUCAUUUUU